rnacentral:rRNA from 1 species
AGUGAACGCUGGCGGUAGGCCUAACACAUGCAAGUCGAACGGCGGCACAGUAAGAGCUUGCUCUUACGGGUGGCGAGUGGCGGACGGGUGAGGAAUACAUCUGAAUCUACUUUUUCGUGGGGGAUAACGUAGGGAAACUUACGCUAAUACCGCAUACGACCUACGGGUGAAAGCAGGGGAUCUUCGGACCUUGCGCGAUUGAAUGAGCCGAUGUCGGAUUAGCUAGUUGGCGGGGUAAAGGCCCACCAAGGCGACGAUCCGUAGCUGGUCUGAGAGGAUGAUCAGCCACACUGGAACUGAGACACGGUCCAGACUCCUACGGGAGGCAGCAGUGGGGAAUAUUGGACAAUGGGCGCAAGCCUGAUCCAGCCAUACCGCGUGGGUGAAGAAGGCCUUCGGGUUGUAAAGCCCUUUUGUUGGGAAAGAAAAGCAGCAGGUUAAUACCCCGCUGUUCUGACGGUACCCAAAGAAUAAGCACCGGCUAACUUCGUG